UACGUAGGUGACAAGCGUUGUCCGGAUUUACUGGGCGUAAAGGGCGCGUAGGCGGGAUGGUAAGUCGGUCGUGAAAUCCCUCGGCUCAACCGAGGAACGUCGAUCGAUACUACCGUUCUUGAGGAUUGCAGAGGAGACUGGAAUUCCCGGUGUAGCGGUGAAAUGUGUAGAGAUCGGGAGGAACACCGGUGGCGAAGGCGGGUCUCUGGGCAAUUCCUGACGCUGAGGCGCGAAAGCGUGGGGAGCAAACGGG
rnacentral:rRNA from 1 species